rnacentral:rRNA from 1 species
AACGAACGCUGGCGGCAUGCCUAACACAUGCAAGUCGAACGAGACCUUCGGGUCUAGUGGCGCACGGGUGCGUAACGCGUGGGAACCUGCCUUUAGGUUCGGAAUAACUCAUAGAAAUUUGAGCUAAUCACGGAUGAUGUCUUCGGACCAAAGAUUUAUCGCCGUUAGAUGGGCCCGCGUUGGAUUAGCUAGUUGGUGGGGUAAAGGCCUACCAAGGCGACGAUCCAUAGCUGGUCUGAGAGGAUGAUCAGCCACACUGGGACUGAGACACGGCCCAGACUCCUACGGGAGGCAGCAGUGGGGAAUAUUGGACAAUGGGCGAAAGCCUGAUCCAGCAAUGCCGCGUGAGUGAUGAAGGCCUUAGGGUUGUAAAGCUCUUUUACCCGAGAUGAUAAUGACAGUAUCGGGAGAAUAAGCUCCGGCUAACUCCGUG